UUGUUGAUUGUGUUGCUGAUGAUGAUAAUUAUCCCUGAAAACAGGUGCUACACUAGCCACCUGGUGCUGAUGACGCACAGGCUUCCUCUUAUCAGAGGGUCUUCUGGUUUUAACAUGGCAUUGCACAGCAUGUGCCUCCCCAUCUUUCUUUUUAAACGCCCCAUAUCGUUUAGAAGAGCUUUCAUCCUUGGACAAACGUCCUUCCCGGACUCCUUCCUCCAAUCGCACCCCCAUGUUCACCAUUUCGGUGAAAUCAGAGGGAGCACUUGC
rnacentral:lncRNA from 1 species